CAGUCGCCACGGUAAUACGGAGGAUCCAAGCGUUAUCCGGAAUCAUUGGGUUUAAAGGGUCCGUAGGCGGUCUUGUAAGUCAGUGGUGAAAGCCCAUCGCUCAACGGUGGAACGGCCAUUGAUACUGCAGGACUUGAAUUAUUGGGAAGUAACUAGAAUAUGUAGUGUAGCGGUGAAAUGCUUAGAGAUUACAUGGAAUACCAAUUGCGAAGGCAGGUUACUACCAAUUGAUUGACGCUGAUGGACGAAAGCGUGGGUAGCGAACAGGAUUAGAUACCCCGGUAGUCCCUGUCUCUUAUAA
rnacentral:rRNA from 1 species